rnacentral:rRNA from 1 species
AUGAACGCUAGCUACAGGCUUAACACAUGCAAGUCGAGGGGAAACGACAUCGAAAGCUUGCUUUUGAUGGGCGUCGACCGGCGCACGGGUGAGUAACGCGUAUCCAACCUGCCCAUCACUUGGGAAUAACCUUGCGAAAGUAAGACUAAUACCCAAUGACAUCCCACGAAGACAUCUGAAUGGGAUUAAAGAUUUAUCGGUGAUGGAUGGGGAUGCGUCUGAUUAGCUUGUUGGCGGGGUAACGGCCCACCAAGGCAACGAUCAGUAGGGGUUCUGAGAGGAAGGUCCCCCACAUUAGAACUGAGACACGGUCCAAACUCCUACGGGAGGCAGCAGUGAGGAAUAUUGGUCAAGGGGCGAGAGCCUGAACCAGCCAAGUAGCGUGCAGGAUGACGGCCCUAUGGGUUGUAAACUGCUUUUAUAAGGGAAUAAAGUGGGUCUCGGGAGACUUUUUGCAUGUACCUUAUGAAUAAGGACCGGCUAAUUCCGUG